ACUUAAUUUCCCAGUAUGUUCCUUCCAGCUUGUUCUCAUCUUGACAGUCCACUCUUCUUCACAAGUUUUCACUAACUUACACUCUAGUAAUUCAUUACAGACCUUUACCUGUUGAAUUCCUUGCCUCUUUCUAGAACUAUAUGCCACAUAGCAGAACACAGGAAUAUUUACAAUGGUAUAAUAGUUUUGCAAGCAAAGACAUAACAAAAGUUGCAAGCAAAAAUCCCACCCAUGCUAGAGACAAUAAAAAUAAAUGACAUUAAAAAGAAAAUAUCUAUCUUUUCUGAAAUUUGUUUCACUCUAAAUUGUUGUAGGACACACUGUUUCGAUGCCUAGCUGCUGUUAAUUAGAUCAGCACAGGCGCUGGAGCUUUGGUUUUCCUUUUGAGUGUUGCCACCAGCUGCAAAACAUCCAUUUCCUCAUAAUUGAUUCUCAAGUUUAUUUGCAAUGUUCCAUGAGGCAUAGCCUACUGAAAUGACUCAUCAUGUUUAUGGGAACAACAUAAGAAUAAAGGUUAUGUUUGAAUGGUUUUGCCAUAUUAAAUUUAGACUAAAAACAUGGUUUCUUGGAAGUUAUUUUAAGCCAGCUUUUAAAUAUACAAAUUUAAUUAGAUUUCAAUUUGAAAAUCACUUUCCUUUAUGAGAAGUAGUCAGUUCCAAAACUGUUAAAAGGAGGGCCUACUUAAGGUAAUGCCUGGUCUAGAUCUUAUG
rnacentral:lncRNA from 1 species